rnacentral:rRNA from 1 species
UACAGAGGGGGCAAGCGUUGUUCGGAAUUACUGGGCGUAAAGGGCGCGUAGGUGGCCAACUAAGUCAGACGUGAAAUCCCUCGGCUUAACCGGGGAACUGCGUCUGAUACUGGAUGGCUUGAGAUUGGGAGAGGGAUGCGGAAUUCCAGGUGUAGCGGUGAAAUGCGUAGAUAUCUGGAGGAACACCGGUGGCGAAGGCGGCAUCCUGGACCAACACUGACACUGAGGAGCGAAAGCCAGGGGAGCAAACGGG